rnacentral:rRNA from 1 species
UUAAGUCCCGCAACGAGCGCAACCCUUGUCCUUAGUUGCCAGCACGUAAUGGUGGGAACUCUAAGGAGACCGCCGGWGACAAACCGGAGAAAGGUGGGGAUGACGUCAAGUCCUCGUGGCCCUUACGGCCAGGGCUACACACGUACUACAAUGGUAGGGACAGAGGGCUGCAAGCGGGAGACGGUAAGCCAAUCCCAGAAACCCUAUCUCAGUCCGGAUUGGAGUCUGCAACUCGACUCCAUGAAGUCGGAAUCGCUAGUAAUCGCAGAUCAGCAUUGCUGCG